rnacentral:rRNA from 1 species
UACGUAGGGUGCGAGCGUUGUCCGGAAUUACUGGGCGUAAAGAGCUCGUAGGUGGUUUGUCGCGUUGUUCGUGGAAAACCGGGGGCUUAACCCUCGGCGUGCGGGCGAUACGGGCAGACUUGAGUACUGCAGGGGAGGACUGGAAUUCCUGGUGUAGCGGUGGAAUGCGCAGAUAUCAGGAGGAACACCGGUGGCGAAGGCGGGUCUCUGGGCAGUAACUGACGCUGAGGAGCGAAAGCGUGGGGAGCGAACAGG